rnacentral:misc_RNA from 1 species
UUAAGUUCAGCGGGUAUCCCUACCUGAUCCGAGGUCAACCAUAGAAAAAUUUGGGGUUGUUGGCAAGCAACCGCCGGGACCCUGUAGCGAGAAGAAUUACUACGCUUAGAGCCAGACGGCACCGCCACUGAUUUUAAGAGCUGCCCAGAGGCAGGCUCCAACACCAAGCUAGGCUUGAGGGUUAUAAUGACGCUCGAACA